rnacentral:rRNA from 1 species
CAGGAUAAACGCUGGCGGCGUGCUUAACACAUGCAAGUCGAACGGAGUGGUCCUCCCGAAGACCUGAUUGAGCUUGCUCUUGAUGGAAUUCAUUUGGAUCACUUAGUGGCGGACGGGUGAGUAACGCGUGGGUAACCUGCCCUAUACUGGGGGAUAGCAGUUGGAAACGACUGAUAAUACCGCAUAAGCGCACAGCAUCGCAUGGUGCAGUGUGAAAAACUCCGGUGGUAUAGGAUGGACCCGCGUCUGAUUAGCUAGUUGGUGAGGUAACGGCCCACCAAGGCGACGAUCAGUAGCCGGCCUGAGAGGGUGUACGGCCACAUUGGGACUGAGACACGGCCCAAACUCCUACGGGAGGCAGCAGUGGGGAAUAUUGGACAAUGGGGGAAACCCGUGAUCCAGCGAACCGCCGCGUGAGUGAAGAAGUAUCUCGGUAUGUAAAGCUCUAUCAGCAGGGAAGAUAAUGACGGUACCUGACUAAGAAGCACCGGCUAAAUACGUGCCAGCCGCCGC